GGAAUAUUGGACAAUGGGGGGAACCCUGAUCCAGCCAUGCCGCGUGUGUGAAGAAGGCCUUUUGGUUGUAAAGCACUUUAAGCGAGGAGGAGGCUACUUUGGUUAAUACCCAGAGAUAGUGGACGUUACUCGCAGAAUAAGCACCGGCUAACUCUGUGCCAGCAGCCGCGGUAAUACAGAGGGUGCGAGCGUUAAUCGGAUUUACUGGGCGUAAAGCGUACGUAGGUGGUCUUUUAAGUCGGAUGUGAAAUCCCUGAGCUUAACUUAGGAAUUGCAUUCGAUACUGGGAGACUAGAGUAUGGGAGAGGAUGGUAGAAUUCCAGGUGUAGCGGUGAAAUGCGUAGAGAUCUGGAGGAAUACCGAUGGCGAAGGCAGCCAUCUGGCCUAAUACUGACACUGAGGUACGAAAGCAUGGGGAGCAAACAGGAUUAGAUACCCUUG
rnacentral:rRNA from 1 species